rnacentral:sRNA from 1 species
ACCCAAACACACAAGCUUCAUCACAGCUUCUCUCUAGUGUUCUUGCUCUCCAAGUGCAGAUCGAUCAGUCAACCAAGAAGCGAGGAAGCAAAUGGCGGCAACACUGAAGCUCAGGCUCCUCGCCGUGGCAGCGGCCGCGGCCGUCCUGGCGACGUCGCUGGUCGGCACGGCGUCCGCCGCCGACGCGCCGGCUCCUUCCCCGACGUCCGACGCGCCGGUGGCUGCGCCGGCCUUCGCCGCCGCCGCCGCCGCCGCCGCGUCCUUGACCGCCCUUGCCUUUGGAUACCUCUUCUAAUUAAGGCCAUGGACUGACGCGUCUGCUCUGUUUUUUUUUUCUUGUUUAUAUGUAUGGCUACUUUUUUUUUUUUUACAAUGUUUUGUUGUUUGGGAUGUAAAAUUUUGUCUUGGGUACGUACAUAUAUAAAUGCAGUUGCAAUUGAUUGGUUU